CCUACGGGGGGCAGCAGUGGGGAAUAUUGGACAAUGGGGGGAACCCUGAUCCAGCCAUGCCGCGUGUGUCAAGAAGGCCCUCGGGUUGUAAAGCACUUUCAGUGAGGAAGAACGCCUAGUGGUUAAUACCCAUCAGGAAAGACAUCACUCACAGAAGAAGCACCGGCUAACUCCGUGCCAGCAGCCGCGGUAAUACGGAGGGUGCGAGCGUUAAUCGGAAUUACUGGGCGUAAAGCGCGCGUAGGUGGCUUGAUAAGCCGGUUGUGAAAGCCCCGGGCUCAACCUGGGAACGGCAUCCGGAACUGUCAAGCUAGAGUGCAGGAGAGGAAGGUAGAAUUCCCGGUGUAGCGGUGAAAUGCGUAGAGAUCGGGAGGAAUACCAGUGGCGAAGGCGGCCUUCUGGACUGACACUGACACUGAGGUGCGAAAGCGUGGGUAGCAAACAGGAUUAGAUACCCCGGUAGUC
rnacentral:rRNA from 1 species